GCUUACGGCCACACCACCCUGAGCACGCCCGCUCUCGUCUGAUCUCGGAAGCCAAGCAGGGUCGGGCCUGGUUAGUACUUGGAUGGGAGACCGCCUGGGAAUACCAGGUGCUGUAAGCAU
rnacentral:rRNA from 1 species